CGCUGGCGGCGUGCCUAACACAUGCAAGUCGAACGGAGUAAAGCGCUGAAAAGAAGGUAGCUUGCUACUGAAUUUUCUGUUUUACUUAGUGGCGGACGGGUGAGUAACGCGUGAGUAACCUGCCUUACAGAGGGGGACAACAGUUGGAAACGACUGCUAAUACCGCAUAAUGUAUGACCGAGGCAUCUCGGAGAUACCAAAGGAGCAAUCCGCUGUAAGAUGGACUCGCGUCCGAUUAGAUAGUUGGUGAGGUAACGGCUCACCAAGUCGACGAUCGGUAGCCGGACUGAGAGGUUGAUCGGCCACAUUGGGACUGAGACACGGCCCAGACUCCUACGGGAGGCAGCAGUGGGGGAUAUUGCACAAUGGGCGAAAGCCUGAUGCAGCAACGCCGCGUGAGGGAAGAAGGUUUUCGGAUUGUAAACCUCUGUUUUUAGUGAAGAAACAAAUGACGGUAGCUAAAGAGGAAGCCACGGCUAACUACGUG
rnacentral:rRNA from 1 species